AGUGAACGCUGGCGGUAGGCCUAACACAUGCAAGUCGAACGGCAGCACAGUAAGAGCUUGCUCUUACGGGUGGCGAGUGGCGGACGGGUGAGGAAUACAUCGGAAUCUACUUUUUCUUGGGGGAUAACGUAGGGAAACUUACGCUAAUACCGCAUACUACCUACGGGUGAAAGCAGGGGAUCUUCGGACCUUGCCCGACUCAAUGAGCCGAGGUCGCAUUAGCUAGUUGGCGGGGUAAAGGCCCACCAAGGCGACGAUCCGUAGCUGGUCUGAGAGGAUGAUCAGCCACACUGGAACUGAGACACGGUCCAGACUCCUACGGGAGGCAGCAGUGGGGAAUAUUGGACAAUGGGCGCAAGCCUGAUCCAGCCAUACCGCGUGGGUGAAGAAGGCCUUCGGGUUGUAAAGCCCUUUUGUUGGGAAAGAAAAGAAGCAGGUUAAUACCCCGCUGUUCUGACGGUACCCAAAGAAUAAGCACCGGCUAACUUCGUG
rnacentral:rRNA from 1 species